rfam:Corchorus olitorius cultivar O-4 contig04675, whole genome shotgun sequence.
GCUCCGGUGGCGAAAUUGGUAACCGCAUUAGGUUUAGGUCCUAACGCCGCAAGGUUUGUCGGUUCGAGUCCGACCCGGAGUA